rnacentral:sRNA from 1 species
UUGGCUGCUGCUGGGUCCCGGGGUCGCGGGCCCUGAUUGCGCCGUUUCCCCGCGCAGAGCUCGCCGGCGCCCCGACGGGCCCCGGAGCAGCGGCCCCAGGCCGGACCCUAGUGCCUCUAACGGAGGGGGCAGCCCAGCCAGGAGGGAAGAGAAGAAGAGGAAGGCCGCCAGGCUCAAGUUUGACUUCCAGGCUCAGUCCCCCAAGGAGCUGACUCUGCAGAAGGGUGACAUUGUCUACAUCCACAAGGAGGUGGACAAGAACUGGCUGGAGGGAGAGCACCACGGCCGCCUGGGCAUCUUCCCUGCUAAUUAUGUGGAGGUGCUGCCCGCAGAUGAGAUCCCGAAGCCCAUCAAGCCCCCGACCUACCAGGUGCUGGAGUAUGGAGAGGCUGUGGCCCAGUACACCUUCAAGGGGGACCUGGAGGUGGAGCUGUCCUUCCGCAAGGGAGAGCACAUCUGCCUGAUACGCAAGGUGAACGAGAACUGGUACGAGGGGCGCAUCACGGGCACAGGGCGCCAAGGCAUAUUUCCUGCCAGCUACGUGCAGGUGUCUCGUGAACCCCGGCUCCGGCUCUGUGACGACGGCCCCCAGCUCCCCACGUCUCCCCGCCUGACCGCUGCCGCCCGUUCAGCCCGUCACCCCAGCUCCCCCUCAGCCCCACGCAGCCCAGCUGACCCCACUGACUGGGUGGGGCAGACCUCCCCCCGUCGCACUGGCUUCUCCUUCCCCACCCAGGAGCCUAGACCCCAGACCCAGAAUCUUGGCACCCCUGGUCCAGCUCUGUCCCACCCUCGAGGUCCCAGCCAUCCCCUGGACCUGGGGACCUCCUCUCCUAACACCUCUCAGAUACACUGGAC